GUCAAGUGACUAAGAGCAUGUGGUGGAUGCCUUGGCGAUGAUAGGCGACGAAGGACGUGAUAGCCUGCGAUAAGCUUCGGGGAGCUGGCAAAUAAGCUUUGAUCCGGAGAUUUCCGAAUGGGGAAACCCACCGAAAGGUAUCCUGCAGUGAAUUCAUAGCUGCAGGAGGCGAACCGGGUGAACUGAAACAUCUCAGUAGCUCGAGGAAAAGACAUCAACCGAGAUUCCGAAAGUAGUGGCGAGCGAAAUCGGAGAAGCCUUCUAGUGAUAGCACGACUGUUAGCAAAACGGGUUGGAAAGCCCGGCCACAGCAGGUGAUAGCCCUGUAUGCGAAAACCGACGUGUGGUACUAGGCUAGAGACAAGUAGGGCGGGACACGUGUAAUCCUGUCUGAACAUGGGGGGACCAUCCUCCAAGGCUAAAUACUCAUCAUCGACCGAUAGUGAACUAGUACCGUGAGGGAAAGGCGAAAAGAACCCCGGGAGGGGAGUGAAAUAGAUCCUGAAACCGCAUGCUUACAAAAAGUCGGAGCCCUUCGGGGUGACGGCGUACCUUUUGUAUAAUGGGUCAGCGACUUACAUUCAGUGGCAAGGUUAACCGAAUAGGGAAGCCGAAGAGAAAUCGAGUCCGAAUAGGGCGAUCAGUCGCUGGGUGUAGACCCGAAACCAAGUGAUCUAUCCAUGGCCAGGAUGAAGGUGCCGUAACAGGUACUGGAGGUCCGAACCGACUAGUGUUGCAAAACUAGCGGAUGAGCUGUGGAUAGGGGUGAAAGGCUAAACAAACUUGGAAAUAGCUGGUUCUCUCCGAAAACUAUUUAGGUAGUGCCUCAAGUAUUACCUGCGGGGGUAGAGCACUGUUUUGGCUAGGGGGUCAUGGCGACUUACCAAACCAAGGCAAACUCCGAAUACCGCAGAGUACAGCUUGGGAGACAGAGCACCGGGUGCUAACGUCCGGACUCAAGAGGGAAACAACCCAGACCGCCAGCUAAGGUCCCUAAAAUUGGCUAAGUGGGAAACGAAGUGAGAAGGCUAAAACAGUCAGGAUGUUGGCUUAGAAGCAGCCACCCUUUAAAGAAAGCGUAAUAGCUCACUGAUCGAGUCGUCUUGCGCGGAAGAUGUAACGGGGCUAAGCCAGUUACCGAAGCUGCGGAUGCACAGUUUACUGUGCGUGGUAGGAGAGCGUUCUGUAAGCCUGUGAAGGUGUCUCGUAAGGGAUGCUGGAGGUAUCAGAAGUGCGAAUGCUGACAUGAGUAGCGUUAAAGCGGGUGAAAAGCCCGCUCGCCGUAAGCGCAAGGUUUUCUACGCAACGUUCAUCGGCGUAGAGUGAGUCGGCCCCUAAGGCGAGGCAGAGAUGCGUAGCUGAUGGGAAACAGUUCAAUAUUCCUGUACCGAUGUGCAGUGCGAUGUGGGGACGGAUCCUAAUAGGUCAUCCAGUUAUUGGAUUCUGGUUUAGACAGAUGUAGGCGACAAGUAGGUAAAUCCGCUUGUCAUAUACCGAGGCUGUCGAUCGAGCGAGCUUGCUCGCGAAGUGACUGAACGGGGUUCCAGGAAAAGCCACUAAGCUUCAGCUGUACACGACCGUACCGCAAACCGACACUGGUGCGCGAGAUGAGUAUUCUAAGGCGCUUGAGAGAACUCUGGAGAAGGAACUCGGCAAAUUAACACCGUAACUUCGGAAGAAGGUGUGCCCUAGUAAUGUGAUAUGAACAAUUGAGCAUGAACGGGCUGCAAUAAAUAGGUGGCUGCGACUGUUUAUCAAAAACACAGCACUCUGCAAACACGAAAGUGGACGUAUAGGGUGUGACGCCUGCCCGGU
rnacentral:rRNA from 1 species